rnacentral:rRNA from 1 species
CACCUACGGGUGGCAGCAGUAGGGAAUAUUGCACAAUGGGCGAAAGCCUGAUGCAGCAAUGCCGCGUGAGUGAUGAAGGCCUUCGGGUCGUAAAACUCUUUUCUGAGGGAAGAAUGGUUGGAAUAGGAAAUGAUUUCGACGUGACGGUACCUCAGGAAUAAGCAACGGCUAACUCCGUGCCAGCAGCCGCGGUAAUACGGAGGUUGCGAGCGUUGUUCGGAAUUACUGGGCGUAAAGGGAGCGCAGGCGGUUUGGUAAGUCUGAAGUGAAAGCACGGGGCUCAACCCCGUCGGGUCUUUGGAUACUGCCAAACUUGAGUACGUGAGAGGAGAGCGGAAUUCCAGGUGUAGCGGUGAAAUGCGUAGAUAUCUGGAGGAACACCGGUGGCGAAGGCGGCUCUCUGGCACGAAACUGACGCUGAGGCUCGAAAGCAUGGGGAGCGAACGGGAUUAGAUACCCCGGUAGUCCAUGCCGUAAACGUUGUGUACUAGGUGUGAGAGGUAUCGACCCCUCUCGUGCCGCAGCUAACGCAUUAAGU